rnacentral:rRNA from 1 species
UAACGCGUGGGUAACCUGCCCUAUACACAUGGAUAACAUACUGAAAAGUUUACUAAUACAUGAUAAUAUAUAUUUACGGCAUCGUAGAUAUAUCAAAGUGUUAGCGGUAUAGGAUGGACCCGCGUCUGAUUAGCUAGUUGGUGAGAUAACUGCCCACCAAGGCGACGAUCAGUAGCCGACCUGAGACGGGUGAUCGGCCACAUUGGAACUGAGACACGGUCCAAACUCCUACGGGAGGCAGCAGAC